rnacentral:rRNA from 1 species
UACGAAGGGGGCUAGCGUUGCUCGGAAUCACUGGGCGUAAAGCGCACGUAGGCGGAUUGUUGAAGUCAGGGGUGAAAUCCUGGAGCUCAACUCCAGAACUGCCUUUGAUACUGGAGAGCUUGAGUCCGGAAGAGGUGAGUGGAACUCCGAGUGUAGAGGUGAAAUUCGUAGAUAUUCGGAAGAACACCAGUGGCGAAGGCGGCUCACUGGUCCGGUACUGACGCUGAGGUGCGAAAGCGUGGGGAGCAAACA